rnacentral:rRNA from 1 species
AGACGUAGGGUGCAAGCGUUGCUCGGAAUCACUGGGCGUAAAGGGCGUGUAGGCGGCCAGGUAAGCGAGGUGUGAAAGCCCUCGGCUCAACCGAGGAAGGGCGCCUCGAACUGCCUGGCUUGAGUCCGGGAGAGGGCGGUGGAAUUCCCGGUGGAACGGUGAAAUGUGUAGAUAUCGGGAGGAACGCCGGUGGCGAAGGCGGCCGCCUGGCCCGGCACUGACGCUGAGACGCGAAAGCGUGGGGAGCAAACAGGAUUAGAAACCCUAGUAGUCC